rnacentral:rRNA from 1 species
ACGGCGAGUGAAGCGGGAAGAGCUCAAAUUUGAAAUCUGGUAGCCUUCGGUUGCCCGAGUUGUAAUCUAGAGAAGUGUUUUCCGUGCCGGCCCAUGUACAAGUCCCUUGGAACAGGGCGUCAUAGAGGGUGAGAAUCCCGUCCUUGACAUGGACCCCCGGUGCUUUGUGAAUACACUUUCAACGAGUCGAGUUGUUUGGGAAUGCAGCUCAAAAUGGGUGGUGAAUUCCAUCUAAAGCUAAAUAUUGGCGAGAGACCGAUAGCGAACAAGUACCGUGAGGGAAAGAUGAAAAGCACUUUGGAAAGAGAGUUAAACAGUACGUGAAAUUGUUGAAAGGGAAACGAUUGAAGUCAGUCAUGCUCUUUGGUAUUUAUAUCAUUGAGUGGGGUCAACAUCAGUUUUGAGCGAUGGAUAAAGGCACUAGGAAGGUAGCACUCUCGGGUGAACUUAUAGCCUAGCGUCAUAUACAUUGUUUGGGACUGAGGAACGCAGCAUGCCUUUAUGGCCGGGAUUCGUCCACGUACAUGCUUAGG